CGGUAAUACGGAGGGUGCGAGCGUUAAUCGGAAUUACUGGGCGUAAAGACGCAUGCAGGUGGUUUGUUUAAGUUCAGAUGUGAAAGACCCGGGGCGUCAACCUCCGGAAUAAGCAUUUGUAAACUAGGCAGACUAGAGUACUGUAGAGGGGGGUAGGAAGUUUCAGGUGUAGCGGUGAAAUAGCGUAGAGAUCUGAAGGAAUACCGGUGGCGAAGGCGGCCCCCUCGGACAGAUACUGACACUCAGAUGCGAAAGCGUGGGGAGCAAACAGGAUUAGAUACCCUGGUAG
rnacentral:rRNA from 1 species